rnacentral:rRNA from 1 species
UACAGAGGUCCCGAGCGUUGUUCGGAUUCAUUGGGCGUAAAGGGUGCGUAGGCGGUCUGCUAAGUUUGAUGUGAAAUCCCGGGGCUCAACCCUGGAAUGGCAUUGAAUACUGGCGGACUAGAGUACCGGAGAGGAAACUGGAAUUUACGGUGUAGCAGUGAAAUGCGUAGAGAUCGUAAGGAAGACCAGUGGCGAAGGCGAGUUUCUGGACGGUAACUGACGCUGAGCACGAAGGCCAGGGGAGCAAACGGG